GGGGAUAUGGCGGAAUUGGUAGACGCACUGUGUUCAGGUCGCAGCGCCUUCUAGGUGUGAGAGUUCGAGUCUCUCUAUCCCCACCA
rnacentral:tRNA from 6 species